rnacentral:rRNA from 1 species
GUCGUAACAAGGUUUCCGUAGGUGAACCUGCGGAAGGAUCAUUAACGAAUGAACGCCACAUGGGGUUGUAGCUGGUCCUCGCGGACAAGUGCUCGCCUCUGUGUCUUCCAACACACCCUGUGCACACCGGCGUGGGUCGUGGGGGUUCCUUCGGGGUCUCCGCAGCUCRUCGCUUCUCUCUUACAAACUCUUGUAUGUCUCAGAAUGUACCUUGCGCUUAAACGCAUCUAAUACAACUUUCAACAACGGAUCUCUUGGCUCUCGCAUCGAUGAAGAACGCAGCGAAAUGCGAUAAGUAAUGUGAAUUGCAGAAUUCAGUGAAUCAUCGAAUCUUUGAACGCACCUUGCGCCCCUUGGUAUUCCGAGGGGCACACCUGUUUGAGUGUCGUGAAUCUCUCAACCUCCUCAUCUUUUUCAAAGGUGGGCYGAGGUUGGACCUGGAGGCCUUGCAGGCAUUGAGCCUGCUCCUCUCAAAUGCAUUAGCGGUGCCCAGGCAUCCUCGGCGUGAUAAGUAUCUACGUCUCUGGCAUGCUGUCUGGUGGCUGUCGCUUCCAACCGUCUCCUGCGAGACAAUGCUUGAAACUUGACCUCAAAUCAGGUGGGACUA